rnacentral:rRNA from 1 species
AGGAUUAGAUACCCUGGUAGUCCACGCUGUAAACGAUGAUCACUCGCUGUUGGCGAUACAUUGUCAGCGUCUGAGCGUAAGCAUUAAGUGAUCCACCUGGGGAGUACGGCCGCAAGGUUGGAACUCAAAGGAAUUGACGGGGGCCCGCACAAGCGGUGGAACAUGUGGUUUAAUUCGAUGAUACGCGAGGAACCUUACCUGGGCUUAAAUGCAGAACGACGUACCGGGAAACUGGUACUCCCUUCGGGUCGGACUGCAAGGUGCUGCAUGGUUGUCGUCAGCUCGUGCCGUGAGGUGUCGGGUUAAGUCCCAUAACGAGCGCAACCCUCAUUGUUAGUUGCCAGCGAGUAAUGUCGGGGACUCUAACGAAACUGCCGGUGUAAACCGUGAGGAAGGUGGGGAUGACGUCAAAUCAGCACGGCCCUUAUGUCCAGGGCUACACACGUGUUACAAUGGCCAGUACAAAGGGCAGCUACCACGCGAGUGGAUGCUAAUCUCUAAAGCUGGUCUCAGUUCGGAUUGAAGUCUGCAACUCGACUUCAUGAAGCUGGAAUCGCUAGUAAUCGCGCAUCAGCCAUGGCGCGGUGAAUACGUUCCCGGGCAUUGUACACACCGCCCGUCAAGCCAUGGAAGCUUGGGGUACCUGAAGUCCGUAACC